GACGAACGCUGGCGGCGUGCCUAAUACAUGCAAGUCGAACGCUUCUUCCCUCUCCAUUUUGUGCAGUCUAUUGGAAAGGGGAGUGGCGGACGAGCGAGUAACACACGUGCAACCUACCUCUCAGUGGCGGAUAACACUUGUAAAUAGGUGCUAAUAUCGUGUAACUGUUUAUUCCGUAGUGCAUGAGAGUUAUUGUCUCUUUCGGGUGUCGCUGCUCGAUGGAUCCGCGGUGUGUUAGCUAGUUGGUGUGGCAACGGCUCACCAAGGACGCGAUGCAUAGCAGACCUGAGAGGGUGAUCGGCCACACUGGUACGGAGACACGGCCCAGAAGCCUACGGGAGGCAGCAGUAGGGAAGCUUCGGCAAUGGACGAAAGUCUGACGGAGCAACGCCGCGGGAGUGAAGAAGGUGUUCGGAUCGUAAAACUCUGUUGUUGGGGAAGAACAAGGACGUUAGUAACUGAGCGUGGCUUGACGGUAGCUAAACAGAAAGCGACGGCUAACUACGUG
rnacentral:rRNA from 1 species